GUUUGCACUCAUCGGGGAAGGGUGAGAACCUUCGACUAAGGUUCGAUUCGAGCGAAAGCGAGAGAACGUUGCCACAGGCAACGGCCCGAAGGGUGAGGAGCGAAGCGAAGAAUAAUCCUUCCCCCACCACCA
rnacentral:sRNA from 1 species